rnacentral:lncRNA from 1 species
AUGGACAUUAAUGAACCAUCAUUGAUGGACGUUGCACAUGACACGAUCAUUUCGACUCAAGGUCCGACGCUAAUAGAAGUUGCUGACUCUCCUAGUUUGAAGGAAAAAGGCAGGGCUUUUUUCGUAGUAAUAGUGGGCGGGUCUCAUGAUAUCUAUGCCGGCCGUCGGAAUAAAAUUAAGGGGCCGAAGGACCAUUCGAUUCAUUAA